GAGGGUAUAGCUCAGUGGUGGAGUGAAGCUUAGCAUGCAUAAGGUCCUGGGUUCAAUCCCCAGUACUUCCA
rnacentral:tRNA from 1 species